rnacentral:rRNA from 1 species
AGUGAACGCUGGCGGUAGGCCUAACACAUGCAAGUCGAACGGCAGCACAGUAAGAGCUUGCUCUUACGGGUGGCGAGUGGCGGACGGGUGAGGAAUACAUCGGAAUCUACUUUUUCGUGGGGGAUAACGUAGGGAAACUUACGCUAAUACCGCAUACGACCUACGGGUGAAAGCAGGGGAUCUUCGGACCUUGCGCGAUUGAAUGAGCCGAUGUCGGAUUAGCUAGUUGGCGGGGUAAAGGCCCACCAAGGCGACGAUCCGUAGCUGGUCUGAGAGGAUGAUCAGCCACAGUGGAACUGAGACACGGUCCAGGCUCCCACGGGAGGCAGCAGUGGGGAAUAUUGGACAAUGGGCGCAAGCCUGAUCCAGCCAUACCGCGUGGGUGAAGAAGGCCUUCGGGUUGUAAAGCCCUUUUGUUGGGAAAGAAAAGCAGCAGGUUAAUACCCCGCUGUUCUGACGGUACCCAAAGAAUAAGCACCGGCUAACUUCGUG